rnacentral:rRNA from 1 species
ACGAAGGGGGCUAGCGUUGCUCGGAAUGACUGGGCGUAAAGGGCGCGUAGGCGGCCUGUACAGUCAGAAGUGAAAUUCCUGGGCUCAACCUGGGGACUGCUUUUGAUACGUGCAAGCUUGAGUGGAGAAGAGGGUUGUGGAAUUUCCAGUGUAGAGGUGAAAUUCGUAGAUAUUGGAAAGAACACCGGUGGCGAAGGCGGCAACCUGGUCUUCAACUGACGCUGAGGCGCGAAAGCGUGGGGAGCAAACAGGAUUAGAUACCCUGGUAGUCCACGCUGUAAACGAUGUGUGCUGGAUGUUGGGGAACUUAGUUUCUCAGUGUCGUAGCUAACGCGAUAAGCACACCGCCUGGGGAGUACGGCCGCAAGGUUG